UACAGAGGGUGCGAGCGUUAAUCGGAAUUACUGGGCGUAAAGCGUGCGUAGACGGCUAUCUAAGUCGGGUGUGAAAGCUCCGGGCUCAACCUGGGAAUUGCAUUCGAGACUGAAUAGCUAGGGUACGGUAGAGGGAAGUGGAAUUUCCGGUGUAGCGGUGAAAUGCGUAGAUAUCGGAAGGAACAUCAGUGGCGAAAGCGACUUCCUGGACCAGUACCGACGUUCAGGCACGAAAGCGUGGGGAGCAAACAGGA
rnacentral:rRNA from 1 species